AUGUAAGGUCUGUUGAUUUAAAGUAGCUUCUCUCUCUCUGAGACAGUAAUAUAAACGGAGCGUUUGUCCUUCUGCCACUCGUGCCGUUCUGCCAUUUGUAGUGGUCCGGGCUCCCUGUGGGUGGAAUGUGUCACUGGGCAUUGUGAGAAGAGGAGAGCGGGAUUCUGGUCCAGGCACUGCUGCUGGAGGCUUCUGACGCCUGCACAUCGUCACUUAACAUGCCAGGGCUGUCCAUGGUCACUGUCACUUUUCAGUGCAUGAUGUAAUUGGUAUUUCAUGACUGUAAUAGAAAAAAAAAGCUCUAGUGUCUGUGCGGAUGAUUGAAUAGAAGAGAAACCUACUCUGUGCUUAUAACACAGGGUUGUGUUUGUCCCUUCUUCUCUUCCAGCUGAACGGUCACCAGGUCACGGAAUUCCACCGGGAAUGGGAAGAGCCUCUGGAGCAGCACGCAAAGUCCUGCUAUCUGCAUUCUGUGGUUGGAGUGAGUUGGCACCAUCGUGGCUCACUGGUUCCACACUCCUUGACUCGGUAUUCAGCUCCAAUUUUCGUUCUGUUUAACUGAGAGGACUGCAUGGUUCACAGAGACCUGGAAAUACAACCAUUAGAAUUAAAUUACCACACAAGAGUGCCCUGAUGAUCUUCACAAAGACGCAGAACCCAUGUGCUUUUGGAGUUGUUUUAGCACCCCGUUUGGAGCCAAACAGUCUCACAACUCCCAUGAUGAUACCAGCUUUUUUUACACCUCUUGAAGUAGCAACAUGAGUUUUGUCUUCCAAAGGGUAAUUUUGAUUUCUUACAAAGCUUUUGCGAAAUUAUGCAAUUUCUGAGUUCUAGAACCAUGCAGUCAUCAUUGAAGCAUGUAGAACACACUAGGAAAAAUGGAAAGGCUCCUUAUUGGAGGGAUGGGCUGAAGAACAAGGACGGUGUCCAGAUGGGUAUUUUUUCUGUGCAUAGCGAAUUAGGAGGCAAAGAAAACUGCUGA
rnacentral:lncRNA from 1 species